rnacentral:rRNA from 1 species
UACGUAGGGGGCGAGCGUUGUCCGAAGUUACUGGGCGUAAAGGGCGCGUAGGCGGCCUGUUAAGUCGAACGUGAAAUCCCCGGGCUCAACCCGGGAACUGCGUCCGAUACUGGCAGGCUUGAAUCCGGGAGAGGGAUGUGGAAUUCCAGGUGUAGCGGUGAAAUGCGUAGAUAUCUGGAGGAACACCGGUGGCGAAGGCGACAUCCUGGACCGGUAUUGACGCUGAGGCGCGAAAGCCAGGGGAGCAAACGGG